AGUCGGAAUCGCUAGUAAUCGCGAAUCAGAAUGUCGCGGUGAAUACGUUCCCGGGCCUUGUACACACCGCCCGUCACACCAUGGGAGUGGGUUGCACCAGAAGUAGAUAGCUUAACCUUCGGGAGGGCGUUUACCACGGUGUGAUUCAUGACUGGGGUGAAGUCGUAACAAGGUAACCCUAGGGGAACCUGGGGUUGGAUCACCUCCUUACCUUAA
rnacentral:rRNA from 1 species